GUUGGGGAGGCAAAUGCUAAGAUCCUGGAUCUUAUGACUGAGGGUCCCUGCCAGAGGGUGACUCUGGCUGGCCAGAGUUCCCUUCCACCUUGCGACUGUUAAAUUUGUAUGCCAACCUGACUGGGCUAAGAGAUGCCCAGAUCGCUGGUGAAACACUAUUUCUAGGCUAUUCGACUCAUAUUGGGAUUUACAUCAUCACCCCAAUCCUCAGAUCUUUGGACUCAGAGGGAGGCUCGGGUUUGAUCCCUGGUCAGGGAACUAGAUCUCUCAUGCUGCAACUGAAGAUCUUGCAUGCUGCAAGGAAGAUCCCACACACAGCAAGAAAGAUCCUGCAUGCUGCAACUAAGACUCAGUGCAGCCAAAUUAAAAAAAAAAAAAGAUCCAGCUUCUGCCUGGCGCUCUCAGGACACUUGCCUUGGAACCCAGCUUCUAUGCUGUGUGGGAAGUCAAACCAGAUGUGGAGGCUCAAGUAAAGAGGACUGGAAAGCCUCAGCUGAAAGCCAGCAUCAACUUCCAGAUGCAUGAAUGAGCAAGCUUUUAUAUGGCUCCACUCCCAAGGCCUGGACUUCCAGCUGAAGUCCCAGACACAGUCACCAUGCUUCCCACUAUGCCCUGUUUGAAUUCAUGACCAAUCCCCACACCCCCAAACUACAGGAGAUAAUAAUAGGUGAUUAUUUAAGCCACUAAAUUUUGGAGCAAUUUUUAAAAUAGUAAUAGAUAACUAAUAUGGUCAUCUUGGUUGAGAUGAUAUUUUGCUGAAAGAGAAAACAUAGAAGUAUCUAAGCAUGGAAGUUAAAAAUCUAUUUUCUCAGAAAACGAAAGUGAAAUGGAGCAGGACUCUGUGGUAUUUGCCCCUCCCCACCCCCAAAGUCCUCUGCCCGCCUUAGUCUAUGGGAAAAACUUAGCCAAAGAAUAAGUUUAAUCAGAGAAGUGAGAACAUGCAGCAACAAAGGAAAACAGUCAAAGGAGACGAAAUGAUAAUAAUAUAGUCAUUAAGAAUAGUCAAGGACUUUUAGUUCCUUCUCAAGGGCUAUAGAUAAUUUUCUGAGUCACAUUCUAUGAGCUGCCUUGUAGAUACUAAAACCCCCACCAGGUGGAGAAGUUAAUUACAUGAUGACCAGACGGUAACCAUGAUGUAAGUUGCCACAAUUCUGAGAACUGGCCUCAAGAAAUGGAAACAAACUGACUCUGGAACUGAAGACUAACUGUACUUAUAACAAGAUGACGCUUUUCAGACCACCAAUGACCAACUUCAAGAUGACUGUCUGAUUUGAUUGCAGUUUCUGCAGGUAGCCC
ensembl:lncRNA